rnacentral:misc_RNA from 1 species
AAACGAAAAUCAGGCAGCGAGAUUGAUUAGAAUGAUCAAGAAUUGAAGAUUUGGGUGAUGGGAACAACAGAGCAGGUUCAGAGAGAGGGGAGCAGGGAUUGUUUAUGUGUAUUUAUAUGUCGGUAGGUUGGAAAGGGGAGUACUGAUGUAGUAGUGAUUAACGGAGAAUCUUCAAGAAAUAGAAGAUUGCAGAUUGGGGUUUGAUGGGUAUAUGUGAAUGAUAUGAUGACGACGAUGAUGAUAAAUU